rnacentral:rRNA from 1 species
AGUGGGGAAUAUUGGACAAUGGGCGAAAGCCUGAUCCAGCAAUGCCGCGUGAGUGAUGAAGGCCUUAGGGUUGUAAAGCUCUUUUACCCGGGAUGAUAAUGACAGUACCGGGAGAAGAAGCUCCGGCUAACUCCGUGCCAGCAGCCGCGGUAAUACGGAGGGAGCUAGCGUUGUUCGGAAUUACUGGGCGUAAAGCGCACGUAGGCGGCUUUUUAAGUCAGGGGUGAAAUCCCGGGGCUCAACCCCGGAACUGCCCUUGAAACUGGAGAGCUAGAAUCUUGGAGAGGCGAGUGGAAUUCCGAGUGUAGAGGUGAAAUUCGUAGAUAUUCGGAAGAACACCAGUGGCGAAGGCGACUCGCUGGACAAGUAUUGACGCUGAGGUGCGAAAGCGUGGGGAGCAAA